rnacentral:rRNA from 1 species
AACGAACGCUGGCGGCAUGCCUAACACAUGCAAGUCGAACGAGACCUUCGGGUCUAGUGGCGCACGGGUGCGUAACGCGUGGGAACCUGCCCUUAGGUUCGGAAUAACUCCCCGAAAGGGGUGCUAAUACCGGAUAAUGUCUUCGGACCAAAGAUUUAUCGCCUUUGGAUGGGCCCGCGUUGGAUUCGCUAGUUGGUAGGGUAAAAGCCUACCAAGGCGGCGAUCCAGAGCUGGUCUGAGAGGGGGAUCAGCCACACUGGGACUGAGACACGGCCCAGACUCCUACGGGAGGCAGCAGUGGGGAAUAUUGGACAAUGGGCGAAAGCCUGAUCCAGCAGUGCCGCGUGAGUGAUGAAGGCCUUAGGGUUGUAAAGCUCUUUUACCCGGGAUGAUAAUGACAGUACCGGGAGAAUAAGCUCCGGCUAACUCCGU